UGCAUGGGAAUCUGCCCGAUAGUGGGGGAUAACCUGGGGAAACCCAGGCUAAUACCGCAUACGUCUACGGGAGAAAGCAGGGGAUCUUCGGACCUUGCGCUAUCGGAUGAGCCCAUGUCGGAUUAGCUUGUUGGUGAGGUAAUGGCUCACCAAGGCGACGAUCCGUAGCUGGUCUGAGAGGAUGAUCAGCCACAUCGGGACUGAGACACGGCCCGAAACUCCUACGGGGAGGGCAGCAGUGGGGGAAUAUUGGACAAUGGGGCGAAAAGCCUGAUCCAGCCAUGCCGCGUGUGUGAAGAAGGCCCUCGGGUUGUAAAGCACUUUCAGUGGGGAAGAAAGCCUUGGGAUUAAUACUCACGAGGAAGGACAUCACCCACAGAAGAAGCACCGGCUAACUCCGUGCCAGCAGCCGCGGUAAUACGGAGGGUGCGAGCGUUAAUCGGAAUUACUGGGCGUAAAGCGCGCGUAGGCGGUCUGAUAAGCCGGUUGUGAAAGCCCCGGGCUCAACCUGGGAACGGCAUCCGGAACUGUCAGGCUAGAGUGCAGGAGAGGAAGGUAGAAUUCCCGGUGUAGCGGUGAAAUGCGUAGAGAUCGGGAGGAAUACCAGUGGCGAAGGCGGCCUUCUGGACUGACACUGACGCUGAGGUGCGAAAGCGUGGGUAGCAAACAGGAUUAGAUACCCUGGUAGUCCACGCCGUAAACGAUGUCGACUAGCCGUUGGGGUCCUUGAGACCUUUGUGGCGCAGUUAACGCGAUAAGUCGACC
rnacentral:rRNA from 1 species